CAAAGCAACCUCUAUCCGUCUAAGCUUUUGUCUGCAGUAAUAUAAAAUGUAAAGAUGAAAAUUCCAAAAGCCAGAAAUUCACCUCAAUGGGAUAGAACCAAAUACCCUACCAAAUCCUGCCACAGUUUUUAUUGGUUUUGAGGCUCUAGCAUCAACAUGAAGGAAUAGAACUUAUAUUUUGGUGCUGGACACGAACACUUGGAUCAUCCUUGAGAUCUUCUUCAUCGGUCUUGAAAGUUAUUCCACCAGCAUUGUCCCUACCAGACGAGUAGCUCUUUUUUUGUUCAUCAUCAGUUUCAACCAAGGAAAUGAUGAGAUUGAGGAAAUCUUUCAAAGAGAUGACUGAAACUACGAAAGACCUGCAGGAUUAUCUCAUGGGAAAGGCUUAUCUACCGGGGAUGUCAUUGAAUGAGUUUUUUCUGACCAAGGCCCCGGAUACUUCAUCCUCCAAGGAGGAGGAGGAGGAGGAGGAGGAGGAAGAAGAGGACGACGACGACGACGAGGAGGAGGAAGAAGACACACAUGAGUGCUGUUUCAAAACUGAAGAUGCAAAUAGAAACAACGAGUUUACUAUUUUAGCUAGGGGAUUGGAUGUUUCCCUUCCCAGAGAUGUGAUGAAGAGCACAUUGACGAAAUAUUUUGAGUCCUGCGGAUUUAAAGUCUUUAGGGUUUUUGUUCCCAUAGAGUGUCUAACCGGUGAACGCUUAGGAUUUGUUACUUGUUCCUCCUCUCCAAU